AGUGCUGGGAUUAUAGGCGUGAGCCACCACACCCAGCCAAGAAAGUCUUAAUGAGACCUCGUUGUACCUUCACUCCCUGUUUGGGAAAUGCUGCUGUGUUUAGCAAAUACUCUUGACCACUUUUAUGAAAAAAUUUAUUUUCCCUUACAGCAUGGUACCAGGUGUAAUCUCCCUGAACUGGCUAUGUGCAAGAAGACUUCCUUCAGAGAUUUCAGGCUUCCUCCAAGUCUACAGGUGUAACCAGCAGCUCCGAAGAGACAGUAACCAUCAAGAACAGGCCAUAAUGAAGAUGGCGGUUUUGUCAAAAGAAAAGGGGGAAGUGUGAGGAAAAGAAAAAGAGAUCAGAUUGUUACUGUGUCUAUCUAGGAAAAGGAAGACAAAAGAAACUCCAUUUUGAUCUGUACUAAGAAAAAUUGUUCUGCUUUGAGAUGCUGUUAAUCUGUAACUCUUGUCCCAACCCUGUGCUCGCAAAAACAUGUGCUGUAUUGACUCAAGGUUUAAGGGAGGGCUGUGCAGGAUGUGCUUUGUUAAAAAUGUGUUUGCAGGCAGUAUAUUGGUGAAAGUCAUCGCCAUUCUCCAUUCUCUGUUAACCAGGGACACAAUGCACUGUGGAAGUCUGCAGGGACCCCUGCCCAAGAAAGCCUGGGUAUUGUCCAGGUUUCCCCCGACUGAGACAGCCUGAGAUAUGGCCUCAUGGGAAGGGAAAGAACUUACAGCCCCCCAGCCCUACACCCGUAAAGGGUCUGUGCUAAGGAGGAUUAGUGAAAGAGGAAGGCCUCUAUGCGGUUGAGAUAAGAGCGUGGCAUCUGUCUCCUGCACGUCCCUGGGAUUGGAUGUCUCAGCAUAAAACCGACCAUAUAUUCUAUUCUGAGACAGGAGAAAACCACCUUAUGGCUGGAGGUGAGACAUCAUGGCGGCAAUACUGCUCUGUUACUCUUUACUGCACUGAGUUGUUUAUGUAAGCUUAAACAUAAAUCUAGCGAUUGUGCACAUCCAGGCACAGCACCUUUUCUUAAACUUAUUUAUGACAGAGUCUUUGCUCACAUGUUCCUCUGCUGACCCUCUCCCCACCUUCACCCUAUAGCCCCGCCACACUCCCCUCGCAGAGAUAGUAAAGAUAGUGAUCAAUAAAUAUGGAGGGAACCAGAGACCAGUGCCAGUGCAGGUCCUCACUUGCUGAGUGCCGGUCCCCUGGGCCCACUUUUCUUCCUCUAUACUUUGUCUCCGUGUCUUAUUUCUUUUCUCAGUCGCUCGUCUCCAUCUUGCGAGAAAUACCCACAGGUGUGGAGGGGCAGCCUCCCUUCAAAAAUGCAUUAAAGACUUAAAUGUACUCCAAACUGUAGAACUACUAGAAGAAAACAUGGGGAAACACUCUAGGAUAUGGGUCUAGGCAAAGACUUUAUGACUAAGACCUCAAAAGCACAGGCUACAAAAACAAAAAUAGACAAAUGGGACUAUUUUAAACUAAAAAGUUUCUGCACAGCAAAGGAAACAACAGAAUGAAGAAACAACCUGUUGAAUGGUACAAAAUAUUUGCAAACCAUUCAUCUAACAAGGGAUUAAUAUCCAGAAUAUACAUGGAACUCAAACAACUCAACAGCAAAAACAAUUCCAUUUUUAAAAGCGGGCAAAGGAUCUGAACAGACAUUUCUCAAAAGAAGACGUACAAAGGCCAUCAAGUAUAUGAAAAAAUGCUCAAUAUUACUAAUCAUCAUAGAAAUGCAAAUCAAGGCCAGGCUUGGUGGCUCAUGCCUGUAAUCCCAGCACUUUGGGAGGCCAAGAUGGGCCUGAGGUCAGGAGUUCAAGACCAGCCUGGCCAACAUAGUGAAACCCCGUCUCUAUUAAAAACACAAAAUUAGCCAGCGUGGUGGUACACGCCUAUACUCCCAGCUACUCAGGAGGCUGAGGCAGGAAAGUCGCUUGAACCCAGGAAGCAGAGGUUGCAGUGAGCUGAGAUCGUGCCAUUGUACUCAUUGUACUCCAGCCUGGGCAACAAGAGAGAAACUCUGUCUAAAAAAAAAAGAGGGGGGGGAAUCAAAACCACUAUGAGAUAUUGUCUCACCCCAGUUAGAAUGGCUACUAUGAAAAAGAUUAAAAAAAAAAAAAAAAAAAAACAGUUGCUGGUCAGGAUGCAGAGAAGAGGAAACUUACACACCGUUGGUGGGAAUGUAAAUUAGUACAGCCAUUAUGGAAAACAGUAUGGAGAUUUCUCAAAAAAACUAAAAGUAGAACUACCAUGCGAGGUAGCAGUCUCACUACUGAGUAUUUAUCCAAAGGAAAGGACAUCAGUAUAUCAAGGGAUAGCUCCACCCAUAUGUUUAUUGCAGCACUAUUCACAAUAGCAAAGAUAUUGAAUCAACUUUGUGUCCAUCAGUGGAUGACUGAGAAAGAAAAUGUGAUAUAUAUACAUAAUGGAAUAUUAUGUGGCAGUAAAAAAGACUGAAAGCUGGGCAUGUUGGCUCAUGCCUGUAAUCCCAGCACUUUAGGAGAUCAAGGUGGGAGGACUGUUUGAGGCCAGGAGUUCGAGACCAGCCUGGGCAACACAGUGAGACCACGUCUCUACAAAAAAUAAAAUAAAAAAUUAGCUGAGCAUGGCAGCUUGUGCCUUUAGUCCCAGCUACUCAGGAGACAGAGUCAGGAGGACCACUUGAGCCUAGAAUUUCAAGGCUGCCGUGUGCCAUGACUGCACCACUGCACUCCAGCCUGGGCAACAGAGCAACAGCCCGUUCAAAAAAAAGGUGGGGAGACAGGGCGCAGUGGCUCACGCCUGUAAUCCCGGCACUUUGGGAGGCCGAGGUGGGCGGA
rnacentral:lncRNA from 1 species